rnacentral:rRNA from 1 species
GACGGAGGAUGCAAGCGUUAUCCGGAAUGAUUGGGCGUAAAGCGUCUGCAGGUGGCAGUUCAAGUCUGCUGUCAAAGACCGGGGCUUAACUUCGGAAAGGCAGUGGAAACUGAACAGCUAGAGUAUGGUAGGGGCAGAGGGAAUUCCUGGUGUAGCGGUGAAAUGCGCAGAUAUCAGGAGGAACACCGGUGGCGAAGGCGGAUCUCUGGGCCUGUCCGUGACGCUGAGGCGCGAAAGCUAGGGGGAGCGAACAGG